GACAGGUGGGUUGGGGAGGGAGGGUGUAGCACAGUGCCGUCGUUGACGGCAGCCACCCUCCCUUCCCUCCCUUAUUGUUUAGGGGGUAUUGUUUAUUGGUUUUGUUGGGGUAUUGGGGAUUUUUUGUGUUUUCUUUUUAGUAGUCAUAUGUUUGAAAAAUUGAAGUUUUUGUAUUUUUGAGGAAUUUGUAAUUCGCGCCACGCCUAUCAUUGGAUAUUGGAGCAGGUGUUCCGCUAGCGGAACGUCUAGAUGUAAGAGGUUAACACAGUUACCAUUCAAAAAUUAGCUAUUAAUAUAAAAGAAUCACAUUGCGACCAAAGAGAACAGACUAAAUGGUCAUCGUUUUCAUCAAACCAGCUUCUUUCUAUAGUGCUACCUGUUCCAGGGUUUGGACUGUAACCACCAGAGGACUUGAAAAUAAGCCGGAGCUGAGAGGAUCACCAAAACUAAAGAGCUUACAACUAUGCCGACAACCAUCCGUGGAGAUCAGUGGACAGUGGGCCGCACCAAAAAAAUGCAUGGUCGCCAAGAAAGCGGCCACUGUAAUCGAUGGGGACUCAGGGCGUUACCAUUCUGCUCAUCUGAUGAAGUGCUCAUGGGUGAGAUUCAAACUUUGAAGACCGAGAUCGAGUCAUUGAAGGCAGACCAUCAGAAAGAGAAACAUUCUCUGAGGGCAGAGAUAUGGGCAACAGCUGAUACAUUGGUCCAGAGCCAGGUGGUAUUUGUGGAGAGUCACUCCUGAUUAGCGGAGAGUCAGGGGGCACUGGCGGAGAGUCAGGUGGAGAUGUGUAACCGAAGAGAGAUACCACAAGUGGGCACAGAAUACAAACUCGGGAUGGAUCCCGAGGCAAAUUUGGUUUACCAGUGAAACUCCGGGUGUUCAUCAUGAAUACUGUUUCUCAGAAGUUUCCACCCAUGACUGAUGCAACCAGAAAAGGCAUUAAAGAAAGAGUUAAUGAGUACCUGAGGUCACCGAGAAAGUCUGGGCAUGGCCUGCUCCCCCUUAUGUAAGGAAUUAGGC
rnacentral:lncRNA from 1 species